GAUCCUUUAAAAAUGUUUUUAAUAAUAAAUGAGAAAAUGAAAAGGAGAGGGUUGGGAAGGAAGGAGGGAAUUCAAAUGCCAGGGAAUUGUUCAGUUUCGCUUUUAAAGAUGUUAACACUCAUUUAUACAUCUGCAAGACACUCCCCUUAAAGAAAAGUUCUAUGAGUGUGGGUCUGGUUGCAUGAAUAAGGAUAAAAUUACUUUUUUAGACGAUGUUUCCCACAUACAAUUCAGAGACCCCUGAAAUUAGGUAUCCCUCUUGUAGAUGUCCUUGAGAUGCUGCUGGACCUGGGAAAGAGGAAACUGGGAUAUGGGUCUAUGCCAAAAGGUGCUUCUAGUUAUAGGACAGAGAGGAAAGGGGCAGAGGGAGAAAAACCCGAAGUCUGAGAAUCUGGAUUGCAGAAGACUACCGAGGUCGUGGGAGAAGGGAGAGAAAACAAGGAUGAAAACCGAAAGGGGAAGAGGCAUGAAAUGUUGCCAAAUGUCAAAAGGCAUUUGGAGAGAAGUUGGGAAUUGCAUUAAGAAAACCACUGCAAAUCUCAUUUCAGACCAUUUAGAGAUAUGCCCCCUGGGAACUGCGAGCUCAGGCUGUUUAGCAUCAAACAAAUGGAUCCACUCCAUCCCUACCCUAAUUAAAUAAAUCAUUCAGUAAUUCCACUGGGUUAAAGAACCAAAAUAUUAAAAACCUUCAGGGCCUACUCUUGCCAAAUAUGUCAGGGAUCGUGUGUGUGUGUGUGUGUGUGUGUGUGUGUGUGUGUGUGUGUGUGUGUGUUCUGAGACACCACUACUGUUAAAUAGGCAGAGCUAAGACUUAGGGGACUGGCAGAUUAUUGCAAAAGGGCACGGGGCAGAGGGACUAUGUUGUGAGCCUGCGAAAGAAGUUUGUGUGGGGACUGUGGGCAGUGAACGCGUUGGGAACAAUAUGGAAAACUGGGAGCCGCCUUGGAAUCUACAGGGCCGGGACCCACUCGAGCCAUCCACACUUGCCCCAGCCUCCUCCAAAACAGCACACUUUCCGGCUGAAGAAAAGAAGAAUGGUAUUCACGCAGUUCCCAUUUUACAGAUGAAAACAAGAGGACUUUUUCUGUGAAGUCAAGAAAGUGGUUACAAUGGUACUUUCAGCCUGUCCGAAUUAUGUAUUGCCCCUCCCCUUUUUAUUAAUAACAUUGAAGUGUGAUGGGACAACCACUGAAGCCGUCAGUUGAAACCUGCUGGGACUUUUUAGCCAUUCUCUUCAACAUAAAGAAUGGGUGUUUUUGGAGGGGGUGAGAGGAAUGGGGAAAUGUUGUCAAAGAGUACAACGUUUUAGUUGAGACAGGAAGAAUAUAUUUUGUUGAGAUCUACAGCACAGCAUGGUGACUGUAGUUAACAAUGAAGUAUUGUCUAUUUCCAAAUUGCUAAGACAAUAAAUUUCAAAUGUUCUCACCACAAAAAAGAUAGGUUUUGAGGUGAUGAAUCUAUUAAUUCUCUGGAUUUAAUUAUUCCACAAUGUAUACAUAUAUCAUAAUAUCACAUUAUACCUCCGUAAAUACAUACAAUUUUAAUUUGUCAAUUAACAUUUUUUUAAUAGAAUAGUGUGGCCAGUCGGGGAGGUAGUGUUGUUUUUUUUUUUUUCCUCUAGUCUCUACUCAGUCUCCAAGAUCCCAUUCCCCAUAAAGUUCCUGUCACCCAGGUGGAGUGCAGUGGCACAAUCAUGGCUCACUGCACCCUCUCCCUCUUGGGCUCAAGCGAUCCUCCCGCCUACAGGUACAUGCCACCACGCCCAGCUAGUUUUUGUAGUUUUUGUAGACAUGGGGUUUCACCAUGUUGCCUAGGCUGGUCUCGAACUCCUCAGCUCAAUCAAUCUGCCCACUUUAGCCUCCCACAGUGCUGGGAUUGCAGGUGUGAGCCACCAAGCCCAACCCAUAAAGUUCCUAACUUUUUAUCUCCCUGGGAGUGCACAGCCUACACACACCAGUUUCUCUUUAGAACAUACUUAAGAGUCUUGGCUUAGCAUCCAACAGACAAAACUUUAACACUUCUAGGGAUCUGUGCACCUGUCUAUGGCGUGGGGUUUUUAAGAUCUCUUUCUAAUGACACUUCAUUUUACAAAGCAGGACAGUUUCAUUCCCAGAAGAGCAGGUAUGGUAAAUCCUUUGUUCCAGUAACGAAGGCAAUGAUCCAAACCCUAAGCCUCAGAGAAGCCCAGAAACCCUCCAGGCCUCCAUCUCUCUGCUCCUAGCACCUGCCUCUCUCUUGACAUCAACAUCAUUCUCCCCUCUCACAGCCCAGCUCCUUCCACAGACCCAGGGAUUAGGCACCAGCACCUCAGACUAGAUUUUAGAGAAUUACCAUUCAAGAGGCAAUCCUCUUCCCUUGGUUCCAAUUUCAAGGUUCUCAAAGACUGGAACAGGGCUAGUUUGAGGCAAUGUGCCCCACCGCAUAGCCAGAAAGAACCUUACAGUGAAAAGGAAAACAAUUCUUCAAAAGUAAGGGGGUGCUGAUCCCCAGAGGGAGGACAGAUGGGCAACCAAACAGUAACCGGGCCACCACGUGCUUCACACUCACUGAUCAAGGAUUUCUAAAACCACUUUUCUUUUCUCUGAAUUUAUAUAGGACUUUGUAUCACUCAUAAAGGAAUGUCUUAUAGGCUGAUAACACCUUUCUAUUCAUGCUUAUACUUAACAUUUAGGCUAGGAUAAUUUCCUAACCUCAGUGUCCUCACUAUAAGAUGGGAAUUAUUAUAAUCCCUACCUCAUAAAUUGUUGGGAGGAUUAAAAUACUUAGUAAAGUGCCUGACUAAUAGAAAGGCAUUCAAUAAAUGUUAGCUAUUCAUGGUGUCGUCAUCAUUAUAUUUACCAUUAUUACUAAUCUCCUGUAUUGCAAGAAUUACAGUUUAUAUUUUCGUAGACCAUCACUGUAGCUAAAGGGUCUUUGGGCCAUAGGUGAUAUUCCAUAAAGGUUGGUUAAAUUGAUCUGUGGUUUUUGACUAUGGAAACUCAGAACUCCCUCAAAAUGUACAAAACAGAUUUACCUGCUAAAUAAAUC
rnacentral:lncRNA from 1 species